rnacentral:rRNA from 1 species
UACGUAGGGUGCAAGCGUUAAUCGGAAUUACUGGGCGUAAAGCGUGCGCAGGCGGUUUUGUAAGUCAGAGGUGAAAGCCCGGAGCUCAACUCCGGAACUGCCUUUGAGACUGUAUCGCUUGCACACGGGAGAGGUGAGUGGAAUUCCGAGUGUAGAGGUGAAAUUCGUAGAUAUUGGGAAGAACACCGGUGGCGAAGGCGGCUCUCUGAACCGAUACUGACGGCUGAGGCGCGAAAGCGUGGGGAGCAAACAGG